GGGACUGAGUAGCUCGGGGCUGUCCCAGUCUGAGGACUCCAAACCGCCAUCCCCCCCCUCCGCUGCAGACUUCGCUUACUGCUUAGCUGCAGGAGGAUGGAGCAGAGGUGGCUUCCCUACGUUUUCCAGCACGAUGUAACGGAUGCUUAUAAAAAGUUGUAUUAAAGAGCUGACUACAGCCCCGAAUCGAUCAACCAAAGCGACCAGCCUCUCUGGAUAAAAUAGCUCUUUCCACGGCCUUCUUGAAAACGUAGCAUCUUUUUUUUAGUAUAUCCUGUGCUUUUUUUUGUUUCCCCCUUGAGAAUGGUGUUGUGUGAUAAAUGGGAAUUUAUUAGGGAGCAGAGUGACACCUUCCAAAAUUACUUAGCUGUACUGACUGUUGCUGCCCCCUGGAACAGUCACUUAAAUUCAGACUCCUGUACCCAACCUCCCUUCUAGGAUGCUGU
rnacentral:lncRNA from 1 species